GGCGCCGUAGCCAAGUGGGAAGGCAGAGGCCUGCAAAGCCUCCAUCGGCGGUUCGAUUCCGCCCGGCGCCUCCU
rnacentral:tRNA from 1 species